CUUAAAUAAGUUUAAAUGAAAUAUGUAUGUGCAUUUAACAAAACGCACUCAGAAUUCUAUGCAGAAUGCGAUAAAAUAUAUAAGGUUCUAUUAGGGAAAAAUAUAUAUAUUCCUAUUAAUUAAAAAAAAGAGACCCCUGACAACAAUUCAAGUUCGUAAAAUUUCAUACAAAUCGGGUAGGCGGAUUGCGAGAAUUUUUGAUAAUUUCAGACUUUCGUACUACACUGUAUAUAUCUUCAUAUUUAAACAAUGUGAUAUAGAGUGACGUCAAAUAAGAAAAAAUAUGCAUUUAUAACGGUUUUUCAAAUUUUACAACUGUUUUAAUAUAUCCCAGAUCACAAGGAUUUCGUUAGAAAUUACUAUCAACUAAAUAUAGUUGAAAAUACAGGACUUACAUGGUUUAGUCUGUGGUAAAUUUAGGUUCAGAAGAAAAUAUAUGCCGUACUGAAGAAUAUUCGAGUAACCAGUUAAAUAAAUCACGUUCAAGUUACGCAGAACAUUGGAAAAAGGCGAUCACCAAACCCGUACACAAAAAUUGUAUGACCGAAUAUCAGGCUUGAAAAUGAACUUCGCAUUAGCUUUCCGUUGAAAAACAGGACGAACAGAAUUUUUAAUAUUAUUAAAGUUAAAACAAUGUAUUAAAAAAUGAAAAUAAACUUAUUUACCAUUU